GGGGAGGGAUGUGAGUACGCUGUUGGGUUGAGCCAUGAGGCGGUCGGGACAGGUCAG
rfam:Tupaia chinensis contig93744, whole genome shotgun sequence.